rnacentral:lncRNA from 1 species
UUAUUUCUUUGGUAAACUUUUAAUGACUCUUUAAAAUAAGGAAGAAUCUCGAACAUAAGUUCCGUGAGAAUUCUACUGUUCACAUAAAAAAUAAAAUAAUUAAAAAUAUGGUAAAAAAAAGUUACUAUUUUAAAAAUAUUGUAAAAUAAAAAAUAAAAAAUAAACAUAAUCAAAUAAAGAAAACAUAAAUUACCUUGUUCACCGAACCUUCUGUCCCAACUUUGCAAUCAUAUAUCACAGUGUCUUUUUUACUGGGCCACAGACCAUGAAUGACAAAUUUUUGUGGAAAAAAAGAGAGAAACAAGUUUCUAUCUUACAAAAUGUUUGUGGCCAUGUGAGAGUCAAUUUAAAGUGAUCAAAGGAAGGUGGUGGUGGUGGUGGAGAAUAUGGUGUAUGUAGAAAGGUGUUGGUGAUUGUGAAAGCCAUCAGAAAACAAUUUGUAGUAAUGAAGUCAUAGUGACCAUUAUAGAGAGAGAAUGAAGUGAUUAGAGAUGCAUGUUGCAAUCUCUGCUUCACCCUUUUAUAGGGGAACAGUUUUCUUGUUUCAACAUCUUCAUUUACUAGUAUUGUACAUCAACAUGCUAGAUAUAUGCAAUUAUGUGUAGAAAUUCAUUUCUAAUUUCUAAUUACAGUUUUUGGAAACUUUCAAUUUUCAUUAUCCAAUAGUAGUAUUCAUUCCAAUACUUGAUAAAUCAAAUUAAAAUGAAAUUGAAACAAAUAAAGAAACAUGCAAAAUAUUCACAAUUAUUUGUUGCAAUUGAAUGCUAUUUUCUAUUAAUUUCAUAAUUCUACUAUCACACGUCAUACUUUUAAAUUUAAUAAAACAAAAACAAAGAAUAUUUCAAUCUAAAAAUAAUAAAACAAAAACAAAGAAUAUUUCAAUCGACAUUGUUAGCUAUAGUCCAAGAAAUUUCUAUACUAGUCAUUUACUGUUUUUAGAAAUUCCAAUUUUUAUUGUCAAAUAAGGAAGAAAAAAAUUAAAAUGAAAUUGAAACAAAUAAAGAAGAAGAAAAUUAAAAAAUGACUACUUAAUUACAGUCCAAAAUUCAACUUGCUUCAAUAAUACACCUUUUGUUUUCUACACCGUUCGACAAAAGGCUAUUUGAAUCUGCACUAUUUCUUGGAGAACUAUCUUCAGACAAUUAUAACAGAAGAAAUAGUACAUCGGCAGUGAACCUUCAGUAACAAUAAUAAAAAGGAACGAACGGAGAUUGCAUAUCACCUUAGUGAAGUCCUCUUGAAGCUUCAAAAUUCAACGUUGGGCUACCAUUGAUAAGAACAAAGAAAUUAAACAAAUGCAGGUUCGAAUCCACUUGAUCCAGUUCUUUCCAAAAUUCAUGCGAUUUAGAACAUAGGGCAGAAAAUCCCAAGACAUUAAAUCGAAAGCUUUCUCAAAAUCUAUUUAAAGACCCUUCAUAUUAAUUUGUUUCAUCAUAUAUUUAAUAUACCGUGUAUAAUUAUAGUAGAUUAAUAAAUUAGGAAAACUUAGUUGAAAUUUUUUCACAAUGCAUGUGCGUGCAUGCAUAAAAAAAUGUCAAACUUACUUAUAAUAGAGAACGAAGAGCGUAGAAUAAGGAAGAAUCUCGAACAUCUGGAUUGAACAAGUUCCGUGAGAAUUCUACUGUUCACAUAAAAAAUAAAAUAAUUAAAAAUAUGGUAAAAAAAAAGUUACUAUUUUAAAAAUAUUGUAAAAUAAAAAAUAAAAAAUAAACAUAAUCAAAUAAAGAAAACAUAAAUUACCUUGUUCACC